UGAGGAACAUGACUUUCGGCGGGGGAUAGCCGGCCCAACGGCCGGGUAAUACCGCGUACGACCUUUUGGGGACAUCCCCGAUUGGUGAAAGCAGCAAUGCGCCGAAAGAGUGCCUCGCGGCCUAUCAGCUAGUUGGUGGGGUAAUGGCUCACCAAGGCGACGACGGGUAGCCGGCCUGAGAGGGCGACCGGCCACACUGGGACUGAGACACGGCCUAGACCUCCGUACGGGAGCAG
rnacentral:rRNA from 1 species